rnacentral:rRNA from 1 species
UACGUAGGGGGCAAGCGUUGUCCGGAUUUACUGGGCGUAAAGGGCGCGUAGGCGGCGCAACAAGUCACUUGUGAAAUCUCCGGGCUUAACUCGGAGCGGCCAAGUGAUACUGUCGUGCUAGAGUGCGGAAGGGGCAACUGGAAUUCUCGGUGUAGCGGUGAAAUGCGUAGAUAUCGAGAGGAACACCUGCGGCGAAGGCGGGUUGCUGGGCCGACACUGACGCUGAGGCGCGAAAGCCAGGGGAGCGAACGGG